rnacentral:rRNA from 1 species
GACGAACGCUGGCGGCGUGCCUAAUACAUGCAAGUCGAACGCUUUUUCUUUCACCGGAGCUUGCUCCACCGAAAGAAAAGGAGUGGCGAACGGGUGAGUAACACGUGGGUAACCUGCCCAUGAGAAGGGGAUAACACUUGGAAACAGGUGCUAAUACCGUAUAACACUAUUUUCCGCAUGGAUGAAAGUUGAAAGGCGCUUUUGCGUCACUGAUGGAUGGACCCGCGGUGCAUUAGCUAGUUGGUGAGGUAACGGCUCACCAAGCCAACGAUGCAUAGCCGACCGGAGAGGGUGAUCGGCCACACUGGGACUGAGACACGGCCCAGACUCCUACGGGAGGCAGCAGUAGGGAAUCUUCGGCAAUGGACGAAAGUCUGACCGAGCAACGCCGCGUGAGUGAAGAAGGUUUUCGGAUCGUAAAACUCUGUUGUUAGAGAAGAACAAGGAUGAGAGUAAAAUGUUCAUCCCUUGACGGUAUCUAACCAGAAAGCCACGGCUAACUACGUGCCAGCAGCCGCCGUAA